UUAAAUCCUUGCUGUAUAUUUUUCCUAUAUAUAACUGUUUUAAUUUAUUUUACUUUAGACAAAAGCACAUAAAGGUUUCUUUCAAAAUAAAUUACAUUCUGUCUCAAGUAACUGACUAACCUUUUUUUUUCUUUUUUAAAUCAUUGGCCAUUUUCAUUAUAGCCACAAUGGAGGUCAGGUUGCAGUAUACUGGUAUAAACUAUUCAUAUUUGUGUUUUUCAGAUGUGUUUGGAAAUCAGGAACUGGACAUGGCUAAACCACAUUUUUUUGUGGGGCAGCUCUGUUGCCUAUUUUGCAGCAACAUUCAUCUUGGGCAGCUUUCCCACCAUGUUUCAGUUCCUGGGAACAGCAAGAAACUGCCUCAGUCAAUUUUACAUCUGGCUGGGCAUUUUCCUGUCCUGUCUACUGUGCAUACUUCCAGUCAUCUUUUUACACGUUAUAUUAACACAAUAUUAUUCAACAAUCAAUGAAGAGGCAAGAAAACCAUCGACACAAACCAUGAUUAACUUUUCUAUGUUAUCUUAACUCAUGGCCUUUCCUCUUUCUUUAAGGCCCAAACUAAGAUGAACAGGGACGGAGAGCCACUAGUUGUGCCAUGUUGCCAGGUCACCAGUGCCAGGAGACGUUCCAGCUAUGCCUUUUCCCAUUCUCCUGGCUACGGUGACCUGGUUACAUCCAAACAGUUCCUGGGCAUGAAAAUCGACAGGUAUCCGCUUAUUUCCGUUGAAAGUUAAUGGCGAUUCUAAAAUAACUCAAACUCUGCUGAAUUUUACCUCCAAUUUUGAAGAGGAAAAAAGCAUGACACACCUGUACACCUUCAGGGAGACGUUCACAGAGACUCUGUACCCCUACUUCAACCUAGGCUUCCUGGACAAAGUGCACGAAAAUGAGCCUCUGAAAGUUUUCCUGCCAAAAAUCUAAAGACAGUGAUGAAGGAGUGUGUGUCCAAAGCCUUGCAGCACUCAUCUCAAUAUGACGACCUUAAAGAAUCUGUGACGUGUUUGUUUGCUGGUUCAAAGUCUGAUUUCAGUGAUUAAGGAAAGAUGUUUAAUGAAGAAAACAUUUUUGUUCCAGUGUUCACAUUUUAUCCAAUGCUGUUUUUGACUUUUUCUGCUGUAUUCAGUUCCCUCCCAAAACAGCACUCUGCCAGUGACCGGUCAGCUGGAAAAAACUGUGGAAUGUGGGGCAGCCGCUCAUUGUUGGUCUGAGCAGAGCAAAAACAGCUGCUUGGCAGACGCAGAGUAAAUGUGCAAUCAAUGUUGUGGAUGAGGAAAUAUUUUCCACUGAGUGAUGUAAAUAACUGUUUGACAUACAUAUAACGCAUGAUCACCACUAGCCAAAGAAAAUAGAGAAUCAGAUUGGGGUUUUUUUCUGUGAAAGGAACUGUGACGUUUUGAUCUUUUUACUCCUAUGACAUGAUGGUUUUUUGUUUUCCCUCGUGGAUAAAAAGCCUGUUGCAUUUUGAAUGGAAGAUUCAUGUUUGCACAAUACUGUUUUAGCCUUGUGUUUGUUGUUUUUAUGUCAAAAAAA